UUUACUGUGUGGCCCUAUGAGAGUCAUAAGUAGCUAAGGGACUCAGGAAAUGACGACAACAAAGUAAUCUCUUGUGUCCCAGUGCCAUGGGGCUGGCCGUGGUCAUUACUAGAAAGCUAUAGGUCCACACUGCUGUUGGACACGGAGACUACUUCAUGCACAGCUUGGUGAAGAGGAGAUGAGUCCCUUUCCAAUUAAAUAGGCGCUGAAACAUGAAGAGAAGGCCCGACAAUGAUAUGUGUUUGUAGCCAGUCUUAAAUGUCAAAAUGCCAAGUGACACGACACCUAUAUUUUUAAUUUUCUCUCCAGCAAGCGAUGUGUGAUUAUAGAAGUGGAGCUACAUCUAACUAAUAAAAUGUGGAUGUGGGCAAGAAUUUGUCCUAAAUCUA